rnacentral:piRNA from 1 species
UAGUGCUGUGUGCUGAGAAUUCAGCAGC